CCAUUUUAUAAAUGCUCCACCAGAUGCCAGACAAUGGAAGAGACACUGUAGCCGUGGCAACUGUGAAGACUGCGCUCUCGUUCAUCGAUAGGAAGUUGAGAGCGGAGAUGCUGAAGACAGUGUAAGCGAUCAGGAAGGUCCAACCAUGAGCUGCGAUGCUGGAACAGGACUCUGAGUUCUUGAAGUGGCAGCACAAAUGAAAGGAGACCAGAGGAGAGGGCAUAGACUAACCCUGCCUAUCCCGGGCAGCGUGUCCAACCAGCACAAAGACAAGAUGACGAAGAAUGCGAUAGAAUGGAUGUAGAAAAGGGUCUCCAAAAUGGGAGGCUUUGGAAUGUGUUUUGGCUUGACAGUGGGGUCAGGGUCUGUCACAUGUAACAAUCUGCCACCCUCCUCUUCGGAUCCACGACGUCUGAUAUCCCUGGAUGACACCAGACGAGACACUGUAUAAAGGAAUGAGUUCUGCUGACUGGCAACUAUCUGGCACAUGUUCUGUUGCUGAAAGAAAAAUAUUUAUAGCACCAGCGUCCAAUAAAUACUUAAUGUUAAAUAUUAAAUAUAUUGUUUUAGUAGAUACGUAUAACAAUUCUGAUUGCAUACUUCGGUAGUGUAGUGGCCUUCCAGCAAAGUGAAAAACAUGGCGAAGGCAGCCAGUGAACCCACGUAGACGAAAGUCCAAAUAGCCCUGACGCCCCAAGAUCCUCUCACGCCGGCUGUGUGGGCGGAAACCUCCCUGCCACGGCAUCGAAAUUCAUCGCAGAGUCCGUAGUCGACGCUUAUGAACAGGCCGACAAUUAUUGUGGUGCUCGAGAAGAUCCGUUGCAAGCUCAUCACUGAAACAAGUGUUCCCUAUUACACCCACUUGUCCUGGAUCUCGAAAGUGAAUCAUUAGAAGCGCAUUAAUGCAACUCUCCCGGCAGCAGCGGUCGAAAAACGACUUUUAGACAUUUUUUGAAGCGACACUAAUGGCCAAUUCAGUAUGGGAUUUUUCUAACAACUCUUUCCUAAACUUGGCAUCCGUAAGAAAAUGCAAACAAACUUUUAUGCAAAGACAAAUAGAAACGUAUGGUAAUGAACAGGAUGUGUACUUUUUCGGCAGAAGAAGAAGUAAUAGACGAGGGAAAAGACCAGAGUGAUUCCCUUGAUUGGAUCCUGGAGAUGACAGACCACCCUGCUUUGGUCUAAGCAGAGUGUGAUCAAAAUCCCGGAAAGGGCGUAGACGAAGCUUAUUUUGAGUAGAGCACAGCGUGGUAUCUUGAUCCUCAUGCUGUUGGGAAUCAAUGGUGGUGGUGGUGAAAUUCUUCCAACAACAAACCACACUAUGCCGAGAAUGCAGGUGGAACUCAGGGCGGUAAAAAGCAACCCUGAAAUCGCAUCAAUUGUUAGCAGUCAGUCUAGACAGUUCUACACAUUUAACAAUUAAUUGUACUCGCUCAAUCUUCCAGUGUGCUCCUAAUAUAUUGUACUAUCAAUAGGAACAAUAGUAAAACUCUUCUUUGUUGACAUGUUUCCAAAGAUAAUUACUAAUACGUCAGAUUAGAUAAUCCAUAAAUCUGAGUGGAGAUAAAUGGUGAUGCGGUUGAAGCAGAUGCGAAAUUGUGGAGAAUAAUUAACGGUGGUAUUGAAGCAGUACAAUUAACAUGAUCCAGAAUGUUCAAAGCCAGGAACCUGUGUAGGCGCUGGAAACAGUGCUGACGCUCUCCAGAUAAAGGGGAUAGGUGAUAAUCAGAAAGGUGAUGGACAUGACGACAGCGAAGAGGGUGACGAUGAAGCUGAAUUUUUGCCAUCCAGCUCGGUCCGUAUCAAACAGCUUAUCAGUGGCCUGAUAAGCAACAUAUGGCGACUCCUCGGUGUCCGUGUAUUCCUCGAUCUCGACGUCGCUUCCUGUGCAGCGAAGCUCUUCCUGUUCCUCGUCGUCCACCAUUGUCGAGACGCAACCACUUAGACUUGCCAUUCUUUUCUGCUUCUUCUCAGCUUCUUCUGUCAUUGAAAAUAUAUAGCAAUUAGCAAUCGAUUAACAUAUAAUGGCACGUUCAGUAAAAUUAUUAUAUUUUUGACGGUAGAGUAAAAAAUUGGUUGAUUACGA